CAUCUCUCUGGUGCCUGCUCUGAAAAUCUGGAAGACCACCUUUUCUUAGCAUCCAGAACAAAUGCAUAUUUACUUUUUCCUCAUGAAGCAGCUUGUGUCAGAUUCACAAAAGGUUUAGAGUCACAGAUUCUGGCUGCGCCCAGCAAGCCAAAAAGCAAUACUGGACUCCUCUGGACCCCUCACUGGCAAAGGCUGGGAAGAAGCUAUCAGCCGAGGCACCGCUGUAAUCCUAGGGAAGACCGCCUCACCAGAGGGCCCCACAGAAACCUUCAGUCUUCUUAAAACCUUCUGAUCCUGUGCCCUUCCAGAAGUCCUGGGAACUGGUCAAGACUGCAGCAGAUGCCCAGCUCACUGGAGGACAACAGAGCUGCACAUGUCACCCUCAUCUUCUGCUUUUCCUCCUUGCAGCCCUACCUCUACCACUCCUGGUUGACUGGGGUUUCUAAGGAUGAUGAAUUUUUAGAGGAUGGAUGGGUUUUAUGAACAUCCUCUCAUUAUCCGCAUGAAGAGAAUCCUCCUCUAGACAAAAUCCACACGUGGGAAGAAAUUCAUUGUUCCAGUCAGUUUCUGGGAAGCGGAACGGCAACGAACGAACUAGAACAGGAUGAGAGAAAUGGAAAAAUACUCUCAUCAUGCUGAGGAUGCUGAACUGAGCUCUUCCUGGUCUGCACAGGGAACCUGCUUACACUGAAAGAAAAUUUGCUUUUUCUUGUACCCAGAAUCUUCUCAUAAUUCCAGUAAUGAAAAGUCAAUACUCUUUGGCGUAACAAAGUCCAAGCUCCUGAGUCACAAGCAAUCAGAACAGGGAAACCCUGCUGCCUUUUAUUCUUAAGUUUCAUCGCGGGGAGCACUGGUAUUUGUUUUGCAGAAUGAGCAGCAUAAGGAAGGCUGCAAUUUGAGGAAUAACACUAUGCACAAUCCCCAGUUAACUGACUGACCAAAGAGCAUCUGGAAACCACCCGCCUUUAGUCACAAUGAGUACAUUGCUCUAGGUUUCCUUGGAAUGUGCUAAAAUGCAAGGGUAUAUUCCCAUUUUGAUGAUGAGGGAUUUGUUAUAUCACACUCCUUUCAAGUGCUAAUGGGAGUCACAUGCUGAGCUACUUAGGCAUGCAGACAAUGGUGUAGACUACUUCAUGUAAAGCCACUUAAAAUACAUUAGUCCUUUCCUGACACUGGGAACUUGAUUUUGACCUCAAUCAUUAACUCAUCAUUGCCUACAUGACUUGUGUAUUUUGGGGCAGUAACUGAUUUCUGGAGUUCACGAAAGAUAUGCAUGUUACUGUGUGAAUGACUUUACAGAGGUCUUCUUGUUAGGUAUUAGGUCUCCACAAAAUGUAAUCUUUCACUUAUUGCAGUAAAUAAAAGUUUGAAUGACCUGCACCAGGGAUGAAGAACAAGUCACCGCAAGGCAAAGAAAACAGUAGGGCCUGGGAGUGUGUGGCUGACAAGUUUAAAAGGUUAUCCUAGCAGUAGUAUCCUAGCAGCAAAAGAAAUCAUGGUAUUCAAAAGGCUUAUUUACACCAUUAUACAGACUGUUAUUUAAAAUGUGGAGGCUAUACAUGGUACCAGUCCUUUCAUAAAUACAAUGUUGAAGCAUUUUGUCUCAGGAGUUAUCCAAGGGUUUCUCACACUUACUCCCUCAGCACUCAGUGCAGCUUGCCUGCCUCUUCUCCUGUGAGCCAGUUAAACAACCUGUACACUGGACCUUCUGGAAAGUGGUUUCCUCUAAACUUGCAACCUAUUUCCUCUCCCUAAAGGAGAAAUAGCUUCCCUCCCUUAUGCUGGUCUAGGCUUGGAAAUGAGAAGGACAUGAGGUUCCUAAUAGGUAAACACUGGAGCAGCAAUUCACUCUCCUCACAGAAUGGGGGAAGCACUGUUUGUGCAGUGAAGGACUCAAGCAACUAACUUAACUAACUUCACUUAUUCAGUGCUUAUAGGACCAGGUGAACUUACGCUGCCUGAGCUGCAAGAAUAUUUUAUGCCAUUUGCCUGUGUUUACCCACAAGUAGGAAGAAUGCAGAGUGAGGAGUGGAUUUCACUUGGGUCAUUCAGUUGUUCACAACCUUCAAAUGUGCUUUGAAGAAGAAAGAUUGGUUCUUGACUUUCACAUAAAGAAAAUCCUUCCUUCCUCUGUCCUCACAGUCUGUUAUUUUCCUAAAGCAGCCAAAUGCAUUAUUGUGUAUCUGGAAUUUAAUAUUUGGCUGAUGUCUUUCUCUAUGUGACAGAACAGUCUUAAUACUUUGCAAGCUAUUCUGAAGCAUGGGCUCAUUCAUGCUGUGGCUACAUUUGGCCUGCCUAUUUCCUCAUGGACUCAAUUUUUAAAAUAGAUAUUUUGGCACUCAAAUAACAUUCCAUGGCAUCCACUGAAACAGUAUUUAUAUUUCCUGCGAAAUUAGGCAUAAUAUUUUUUGCUGAGUGUCAGCAAGUAAGACACACUGCAGGGCUGACAGAUCCAUGAUCAUGAAGCAAGUGCUUCAAAAUGGUACCAUGAAGAUUUUGUGUGAAAGAGAGGUGGGUUUGCACCUUUUUUUCAGGCUGUGAAUCUUGUCCUGUUGAUGCCAAUUA